rnacentral:rRNA from 1 species
GAUCAUGGCUCAGGAUGAACGCUAGCUACAGGCUUAACACAUGCAAGUCGAGGGGAAACGACAUCGGAAGCUUGCUUUGAUGGGCGUCGACCGGCGCACGGGUGAGUAACGCGUAUCCAACCUGCCCACCACUUGGGGAUAACCUUGCGAAAGUAAGACUAAUACCCAAUGACGUCUCUAGAAGACAUCUGAAAGGGAUUAAAGAUUUAUCGGUGAUGGAUGGGGAUGCGUCUGAUUAGCUUGUUGGCGGGGUAACGGCCCACCAAGGCUACGAUCAGUAGGGGGUUCUGAGAGGAAGGUCCCCCACAUUGGAACUGAGACACGGUCCAAACUCCUACGGGAGGCAGCAGUGAGGAAUAUUGGUCAAUGGGCGAGAGCCUGAACCAGCCAAGUAGCGUGCAGGAUGACGGCCCUAUGGGUUGUAAACUGCUUUUAUGCGGGGAUAAAGCGGGCGACGUGUCGCCCCUUGCAGGUACCGCAUGAAUAAGGACCGGCUAAUUCCGUG